GACGUAGGGCGCAAGCGUUGUCCGGAAUUAUUGGGCGUAAAGAGCUCGUAGGCGGCUUGUUGCGUCGACUGUGAAAAACCACGACUCAACCGUGGGACUGCAGUCGAUACGGGCAGGCUAGAGUUCGGUAGGGGAGACUGGAAUUCCUGGUGUAGCGGUGAAAUGCGCAGAUAUCAGGAGGAACACCGGUGGCGAAGGCGGGUCUCUGGGCCGAUACUGACGCUGAUGCGCGAAAGCUAGGGGAGCAAACAGG
rnacentral:rRNA from 1 species